CUAAACGGCCGCGGCAUUAAAACCGUGCAAAGGUAGCACAAUCACUUGUCCCUUAAAUGAGGACGCGUAUGAAAGGCAAUAUGAGAGAAUACCUGUCUCCUAAGGACUGCCAAUGAAAUUGAACUACCAGUUCAAAAGCUGGUAUUAACAAGCAAGACAAAAAGACCCUGUGGAACUUUAAUUAACUGCUUUACAUAAUUUAAAUCAGUAAUUUCAGUUGGGACAACUUUAGAAAAAUUUAACUUCCUAAUUUAUUAAGACCAAUCAGUCAAAUCAAAAUCGUAUGACCCAGUAAUACUGACUAACGAAAUAAGCUACCCCAGGGAUAACAGCGCUACCUUCUCAAAGAGUCCAUAUCAACAAGAAGAUCUACGACCUCGAUGUUGGACCAGGGUACCCAGACGGUGCAGCAGCUGUCAAUGGUUCGUUUGUUCAACGAU
rnacentral:rRNA from 1 species